GAUUAACGCUGGCGGCGUGCAUAACACAUGCAAGUCGAACGAUGAAACUCAUUAGAUUUCUUCGGAAUGAAAAUGAAUGGAUUAGUGGCGAACGGGUGAUUAACGCGUGAGUAACCUGCCUUACACAAGGGGAUAGCCUCUGGAAACGGAGAAUAAUACCCUAUGAAACCAGACAAUCGCAUGAUAAUCUGGUCAAAAUGUUUAGUGGUGUAAGAUGGACUUGCGUCUGAUUAGCUAGUUGGUGAGAUAAAAGCUCACCAAGGCAACGAUCAGUAGCCGGCUUGAGAGAGUGUACGGCCACAUUGGGACUGAGACACGGCCCAGACUCCUACGGGAGGCAGCAGUGGGGAAUUUUGCACAAUGGGGGAAACCCUGAUGCAGCGACGCCGCGUGAUUUAGAAGGCCUUCGGGUUGUAAAAAUCUUUUGUAUAGGAAGAAAAUGACAGUACUAUACGAAUAAGGUCCGGCUAAUUACGUG
rnacentral:rRNA from 1 species